rnacentral:rRNA from 1 species
UACGGAGGGGGCUAGCGUUGUUCGGAAUUACUGGGCGUAAAGCGUACGUAGGCGGCUUUUUAAGUCAGAGGUGAAAGCCCGGGGCUCAACUCCGGAACUGCCUUUGAAACUGGAAAGCUUGAACAUGGGAGAGGUAAGUGGAAUUCCGAGUGUAGAGGUGAAAUUCGUAGAUAUUAGGAGGAACACCAGUUGCGAAGGCGGCUCUCUGGACUGUAACUGACACUGAGGCACGAAAGCGUGGGGAGCAAACAGG